GGUACCCACCCCGCCUACGUAACCAAAGAUAAGAAGAAUAAGAGAUCUGAGUGGUCAAAACAACUGACUGGCGAAGACUCUUCCUGGGAAUCAGCCUUCGCAUGUUGUCAUUGACUUUGAAUUUUCAAUCUAAAGCAUCGAAUCGUUUCUGAAUUUUUAAGAGUUGAAUGGAUUUUCGGAAGCUAUUAUUAGUCUACACUACUUCCGGCGCCUCCAUCCCUUCACCGCCGCCGCCAGUGGGCGUUGGACGUUGUCCAGUCAACCACAGAACCGCCGCAAU